rnacentral:rRNA from 1 species
UACGGGGGGGGCAAGCGUUGUUCGGAAUUACUGGGCGUAAAGGGCUCGUAAGCGGCCAACUAAGUCAGACGUGAAAUCCCUCGGCUUAACCGGGGAACUGCAUCUGAUACUGGAUGGCUUGAGUUCGGGAGAGGGAUGCGGAAUUCCAGGUGUAGCGGUGAAAUGCGUAGAGAUCGGGAGGAACACCGGUGGCGAAGGCGGGUCUCUGGGCAAUUCCUGACGCUGAGGCGCGAAAGCGUGGGGAGCAAACGGG